UGUUAAAUUCAGUUUAAGUUUAUCUUUUAAAACAAUUUAUCAUGGGCCUGAAAGCAAUGAAAUUUUUUGUUUUAAUGGUGUUUGCUUUACUAGUGACUAGCGAAGAUCUGAAAAGGUGCCAAAAUCCUAAUAACCCAAGAGUUUCUGGCGAUGGCUGCUACCCAAAGUCAAGUUGUGCCAAUCCAAUAAUAAAUCCAGGACUUGCAUUUAAGUCCCCUGACUGUAAGGAGUGGCAACUUUGCUGCGUUUGGGUAACUCAUAGAGAUUUUUCAAAUGGCAAUCAAAGAAUGAAUUUUUAAAUAAUUUUCCAUUUCAACUAAUAUAAAAAGUUCACCAAAUAUAUAAUGAAAGAAAUCUGAAUAAAUAUUAAGUUACUACCAUCA